rnacentral:rRNA from 1 species
CAGGAUGAACGCUGGCGGCGUGCCUAACACAUGCAAGUCGAGCGAGUUUACUUCGGUAAAGAGCGGCGGACGGGUGAGUAACGCGUGGGUAACCUGCCUCAUACACAUGGAUAACAUACCGAAAGGUAUGCUGAUACAGGAUAAUAUAAGAGAUUCACAUGGAUUUCUUAUCAAAGCUCCGGCGGUAUGAGAUGGACCCGCGUCUGAUUAGCUAGUUGGUAAGGUAAUGGCUUACCAAGGCGACGAUCAGUAGCCGACCUGAGAGGGUGAUCGGCCACAUUGGAACUGAGACACGGUCCAAACUCCUACGGGAGGCAGCAGUGGGGAAUAUUGCACAAUGGGCGAAAGCCUGAUGCCAGCAACGCCGCGUGAGUGAUGAAGGCCUUCGGGUCGUAAAACUCUGUCCUCAAGGAAGAUAAUGACGGUACUUGAGGAGGAAGCCCCGGCUAACUACGUGCCAGCAGCCGC